CCUACGGGGGGCAGCAGUGAGGAAUAUUGGUCAAUGGACGAGAGUCUGAACCAGCCAAGUAGCGUGAAGGAUGACUGCCCUAUGGGUUGUAAACUUCUUUUAUAUGGGAAUAAAACGUUCCACGUGUGGGAUUUUGUAUGUACCAUAUGAAUAAGGAUCGGCUAACUCCGUGCCAGCAGCCGCGGUAAUACGGAGGAUCCGAGCGUUAUCCGGAUUUAUUGGGUUUAAAGGGAGCGUAGGUGGAUUGUUAAGUCAGUUGUGAAAGUUUGCGGCUCAACCGUAAAAUUGCAGUUGAAACUGGCAGUCUUGAGUACAGUAGAGGUGGGCGGAAUUCGUGGUGUAGCGGUGAAAUGCUUAGAUAUCACGAAGAACUCCGAUUGCGAAGGCAGUUCACUGGACUGCAACUGACAUUGAUGCUCGAAAGUGUGGGUAUCAAACAGGAUUAGAUACCCGGGUAGUC
rnacentral:rRNA from 1 species